GUGGGGAAUCUUGCGCAAUGGGCGAAAGCCUGACGCAGCCAUGCCGCGUGAAUGAUGAAGGUCUUAGGAUUGUAAAAUUCUUUCACCGGGGACGAUAAUGACGGUACCCGGAGAAGAAGCCCCGGCUAACUUCGUGCCAGCAGCCGCGGUAAUACGAAGGGGGCUAGCGUUGCUCGGAAUUACUGGGCGUAAAGGGAGCGUAGGCGGACAUUUAAGUCAGGGGUGAAAUCCCGGGGCUCAACCUCGGAAUUGCCUUUGAUACUGGGUGUCUUGAGUGUGAGAGAGGUAUGUGGAACUCCGAGUGUAGAGGUGAAAUUCGUAGAUAUUCGGAAGAACACCAGUGGCGAAGGCGACAUACUGGCUCAUUACUGACGCUGAGGCUCGAAAGCGUGGGGAGCAAACAGGAUUAGAUACCCUGGUAGUCC
rnacentral:rRNA from 1 species